CAAAGGCUUGAUCCUGACUUUACUAUCAGUUUUAGCUAGAUUUACACAUGCAAGUCUCCGCACCCCUGUGAAAAUGCCCAUAACCCCCCGCCCGGGGGCAAGGAGCCGGCAUCAGGCACAACUAUAAGCCCAAAACGCCUUGCUCAGCCACACCCUCACGGGAAUUCAGCAGUGAUAAACAUUAAGCCAUAAGUGAAAGCUUGACUUAGUUAAAGCUAAGAGGGCCGGUAAAACUCGUGCCAGCCACCGCGGUUAUACGAGAGGCCCAAAUUGAUAGACCACGGCGUAAAGAGUGGUUAGGGAAAACUUCAAACUAAAGCCGAACGCUAUCAAAGCUGUUAUACGCACACGAAAGUAUGAAGAACAACAACGAAAGUGGCUUUACUUUACCUGAACCCACGAAAGCUAAGAAACAAACUGGGAUUAGAUACCCCACUAUGCUUAGCCCUAAACAUCGACUGUGGCCUACCCCCACAUCCGCCAGGGUACUACGAACGCCAGUUUAAAACCCAAAGGACUUGGCGGUGCUUUACAUCCCCCUAGAGGAGCCUGUUCUAUAACCGAUAACCCCCGUUCAACCUCACCCUCUCUUGCUCCUUCCCGCCUAUAUACCACCGUCGUCAGCUUACCCUGCAAAGGAUAAAUAGUAAGCAAAAUUGGUACAACCCAAAACGUCAGGUCGAGGUGUAGUGGAUGAGAGGGGAAGAAAUGGGCUACAUUCCCUAACCAUAGCGAAAACGAAUAAUGCAUUGAAAUAUGUUAUUGAAGGAGGAUUUAGUAGUAAGCAGAAAACAGAGCGUUCCGCUGAAAUAGGCCCUAAAGCGCGCACACACCGCCCGUCACCCUCUCCGACCUCACCUUACUCACCCCACUUUCAUAAAAUAUUGCCAACCAGGAGGAGAGGAAAGUCGUAACAUGGUAAGCGUAUCGGAAGAUGCGCUUGG
rnacentral:ncRNA from 1 species